UGAGUUUGAUGAUAAUAUGUCUUGGUGUUUUUCUUUUUGUAUCAAUCUUAAAUGGGGUUCGAUGAGCAUCUUGGAUAGAUAUCCUUUCGUCUUUCAUGAUGUCAGGGAAGUUUUCUGUCAGAAGUUCUUCAACUAUUUUCUCUGUGUUUUCUGUCCCCCCUCCCUGUUCUGGGACUCCAAUCACCCGCAGGUUAUCCUUCUUGAUAGAGUCCCACAUAAUUCUUAGGGUUUCUUCAUUUUUUUUAAUUCUUUUAUCUGAUUUUUUUUCAGCUAUGUUGGUGUUGAUUCCCUGGUCCUCCAGAUGUCCCAGUCUGCAUUCUAAUUGCUCGAGUCUGCUCCUCUGACUUCCUAGUGUGUUGUCUAAUUCUGUUAUUUUAUUGUUAAUCUUUUGGAUUUCUACAUGUUGUCUCUCUAUGGAUUCUUGCAACUUAUUAAUUUUUCCAGUAUGUUCUUGAAUAAUCUUUUUGAGUUCUUCAACAGUUUUAUCAGUGUGUUCCUUGGCUUUUUCCGCAGAUAUCCUAAUUUCAUUUGUGAUAUCAUUAAGCAUUCUGUAAAUUAGUUUUUUAUAUUCUGUAUCUGAUAAUUCCAAAAUUGUAUCUUCAUUUGGGAAAGAUUUUGAUUCUUUUGUUUGGGGGGUUGGAGAAGCUGUCACGGUCUGCUUCUUUAAGUGGUUUGAUAUGGAUUGUUGUCUCCGAGCCAUCACUGGGAAACUAGUUUUUCCAGAAAAUCCGCUAAAAAAAAAACUGCAGUCAGAUCCCUAUCAGAGUUCUCCCUCUGGCUCCGGCUAUUCAGAUGUUAAUGAAGCCGCCUGGGGAGGGUGGGGGAGGGAACAGAGAGAUAGGAGAGUAGCACCUCAGAAUAUAGCCAGAGUUGCUUGUCUUGCUUGGAAUGACUGUUAUAUCUGAGAUUCCCGCGGGCGCGUCGCCUAUGUGUGCUGGCUGUGUGGAGAUUGCCCCCAGGGGGUCUGGCCCGCUGGAGUCACGGUCAGAUCGUCCGCUUCCAGCCCCACGCCCAGCGUCAAGGCUCCCCUACUGGAACGGUGCACUCUCGACUCCAAAAUCAGUCGCUGCCUCCCGGGGACUUCUCGUCUCUCCAGCCGCGUGGCCGUGCCGCCCCCGUGAACCAGAAAGGGGCCGGGCUUUGCAGGGAGAAGGAGCCGGGUGACUCGCUGGGCCCAGGCCUUGUGACAGGAGAGCCAGUAACGUGCCUGCUGACGGUGAUCCAGCCGCUCCAUCUGCGUCAUAGAGCAAUGAGGCUGCUGCUGUGCGUCAUCAGAGCGGGGACAGAAAGGAGGGGAGCAACCCAGCACUCAGCUCUGCCCUUGCUGACGAGAGCUGGCUGACAGCCUCCCCUCUGCAGGGCUGGAGCACCAUGAGGCCUGUGACAUGGAGCCCGCUGCUGUGUUCCCAGUGCCAGGCACGUUUGUUGAAUGAACAAAUGAAUGAAUUGAAUGAACUAAUGAAUGAAUGAUAAAUGAUGAACAAAUGAAUGAUCAAACCAAUGAAUGAAUGAGUGAUUCUGCCUUGCUCCCCUGAGCCAACCUGCUUCUGCCUGGCCCUGUCAGGUCUCUGAGUAGGACACAGUGCCUACCACUCCUCAGGACCCUCCAAGCCUAUCUGUUCUCACGUCUGAGUCCUGGAAAGUGGAGGGGAGGGGGUAUGACAGCUUUGGCCCACUUUAAGGGUCCCAAGAACCUCCACAGCUCCACUCCGUGGGCACUUCUUCCAGCUGUAGGAUGGCCCGGGUUGGGGGAGUGGACACGGGGAAACCACUACCCAAUGCAGCGUCCUCAGUGCAGGUGUGGGUGGUCCAUGGUCACACUGGUGGCUACCACAGCCCAGAAGUGAUCAGCAGAGGUACAGACCUCAUUGAGAAGGCCUAGACAAGAGAGUGAUCAAUGGUCAUGUGUCAUGGGGAGGACAGUGCCCUCUGGGGCCCCUGGAGGAGCUGGAGGAGGGCUUACACCUGUUAAUACCCCAUUCGUACUUGCCCCAAUUGGGGUGGCCUGGGACACACAGGCCAGCAAGGUAAAUGACAAGACCCGUUCAACAUUCUUGAGAACGUGUGCUCUGCAGCUCCUUGAAAAUAGGCACUUAAUUACAACUGUCAUGGCAAUUACAAACCCUGUUCAUUUAUUCCCCAGACAUUUUCGCAGGAUAAAGCCAUUGCUCCAGGUUGAGUUAUCACAUCCUUGAUGGCCCGAAAGCUAGCUUUAUUUUUAACUUAUCAUCUUUCGGACAUUUCCUAAUUCUAACUGGACUUCACCUCCAUCUAGUUCAAACCAGCGGGACUUUAUACUGCUCCCUUUAGCGUUCACUCAUCCAUCAACACACACUUUUCAUUGACUAGUCCCCCACCAGAAUUUGGACUCGAUUAAGUGCUCAACCACUAGCCGAAAGGUUGGCGGCUCAAACCCAGUCAGUGGUGCCUUGGAAGACAGGCCUGGUGAUCUGCUUCUGAAAAAUCAGCCUUGAAAACCGUCUGGAGCAAAGUUCUGCUCUGCACACGCGGGGAUGCCAUGAGUCAGAGUCAACUGCGCAGCGUCAAACAACAAACACCACCAGAACUCACACGAACAACCUGCUGGACUUCAUCCCUUCGUUUUUCAUUUCUUACCUUCUCUGAUUCUUCCAAAAGCCUCCCAGCAAGAAUACAAACCUAUUAGAGUUGUUCUCUUUAGCCACUUACCAACAUCACCUAGAUUUUAAUUUGGUUCAAAGAGAAUAAUUCCCGCUUCC